UUUUAGCCUAGCGCAAUAGGCCCUCGAGUUAUGCAGGGGAAUCCCGGUGCAAGUCCGGAACUGUCCCGCAACGGUAAGCAUCACCGCCAGAACUUUGGUUUAUCCGACGCGUUGAUAACCAAUCUUUUCAGUGAUGACAAGUCCGAAUGCCUGCCGGUUGUGCAAUUUCAUA
rnacentral:ncRNA from 2 species